rnacentral:rRNA from 2 species
UACGAAGGUGGCAAGCGUUGUUCGGAUUUACUGGGCGUAAAGGGAGCGUAGGUGGUUAGGUAAGCCCUCCGGGAAAUCUUCAGGCUUAACCUGAAAAGGUCGGGGGGGACUGCCUAGCUAGAGGGCGGGAGAGGAGCGCGGAAUUCCCGGUGUAGCGGUGAAAUGCGUAGAGAUCGGGAGGAAGGCCGGUGGCGAAGGCGGCGCUCUGGAACGUUUCUGACACUGAGGCUCGAAAGCGUGGGGAGCAAACAGG